GUAAAGCUAUACGACAAUUUUCUGGAUAUUACAACCACAAUACCUGGAGUUCCCGGUAAAAAUCUCACCAUUUCAUUCAUUGAUGAUUUUAAUAUUGAGUCAACCAAUCCUCGUCUAUUUGACUACCUAGAGAUUGAAGGCACAAAAUAUUGUGGUCAGGAGGCUCCAGAAGACAUCACGCUUUCAACUGGUGCCGGCACCCAAGUACGCUUUUUCACCGAUUUUAAUUUCAGACGAGUAGGUUACACAUUGACCUAUCAAUAUAUAGACGCUGUACCAGAUGAUAAUCCUUGUAAAAAUGGAGGAACGCUCACCGCACAACUAACUUGUAAUUGCAUGUCAGGUUUUGAGGGAAGUAAUUGUGAAAUCCCAGCAAUAUUAACAUCAGGCGGGCAGUACGGGUCCGACCAGAACACAUCGUUCACUCUACCUGGUUUUCCAGAGAAAGAACUUGUCCUUACGUUUGAUGAUGAUUUUAGUAUUGAAACUACGGGUGGUAAUUGUAAUGAUACUCUAAGAACAAACUGUACAGAAGAUUAUGUGGAGAUAGAGGGAACAAGAUAUUGUGGAGGCGUGGCCCCAGAACCCAUUACUCUACCUACAGGUAACGGAACAACAGUACGUUUUGUGAGUAACCCUGACGGUGAAGAGUGCCCGAUCGGUUUUCGACUCACCUAUGUCUAUAGAGACCCGUAGUCAUUUUAAAACUGAUGCUAAACGUACAACAAGGAAUUAAUGUUUGUGAAUUUACUUCUGCUAGAAAUGGUAUUAUGUGAUGGAAGGAUAUGUCAUCAGGACAGUUUGUUAACCAAAAAAAGAUAAUUCCUGAUUUUACAAAAAUCUAACUAUGGUAUAUGAUAUUAAUGC